rnacentral:pre_miRNA from 1 species
UCUAGCAGAUAGGCUUUCUGUUUGUAUUAUGUUUCUUCAAAAAUGUAAGACGAACAAAAAGUUUGUCUGAUAGCUG